CAAGUACUCCCUCCGUCCAGAAUUACUUGUCAUCAAAAUGGAUGUGUCUAGAAUUAAAAUACAUCUAGAUACAUCCAUUUCAAUGACAAGUAUUUUCGGACGGAGGGAGUACAAG
rnacentral:pre_miRNA from 1 species